rnacentral:lncRNA from 1 species
CUUUUUGAAUUAUUAAAUUUACCAUUUUGAAUGUAAAUAGUUAAUCUAAAUUGCAUUUUAACUUCUUAUUUAAUUUUAUUUCAAAUAAUAUCAAAAGAUUCAUUAUUAUUGUGGAAAAGUAAAUCUCAAAAAUAAGGAUUUAGUGGUGGUGAUAAAUUUUUUACUUUUGGAUCAUGAGGAUAAGAAUGAACAGUACAAAGAUAAAAAUGAGAAGGCAAAAAAUAUAUGCCUAUAUCAUUGAUUAGACAACAUGACAAUCUCUGUCCUUACAUAUUAUCCCAGUUUUCUCUACAUCAUAUUCUCUUCUUCAUGCAAGUAUGUCUCUUAUUCAUACUCUCAAAUCCAUACACUCAGAUAUUCAUUCACUUGUUUUCUCCAUUUUUUUCAUUGGCUUUCCUCUCUCACACAUCAUUCAUAUUUUCAUAUGCAAUAAUCAUGGCCCCGCUGACAUCAUCACACCCCACCCUGAAGUUCCGACCAAGCAUUUCCUGUCCAUCCCACGACACCCUAUGUGCCGUGAGGUCACCAGUAUAAUUAAGAAAAAGC